rnacentral:rRNA from 1 species
UUGGAGGGCAAGUCUGGUGCCAGCAGCCGCGGUAAUUCCAGCUCCAAUAGCGUAUAUUAAAGUUGUUGCAGUUAAAAAGCUCGUAGUUGAAUUUCGGGGUCAAUAAGUUGGUCGUGCCAAUGGUAUGCACUGGCUUUAUUGAUUCCUACCUCUUGACGAACUGUGAUGCCAUUAAUUUGGUGUCGCAAGGAAUCAGGACUGUUACCUUGAAAAAAUUAGAGUGUUUAAAGCAGGCUUACGCUUGAAUACAUUAGCAUGGAAUAAUGAAAUAGGACGUUUGAACCUAUUUUGUUGGUUUCUAGGAUCGACGUAAUGAUUAAUAGGGAUAGUUGGGGGCAUUAGUAUUCAAUUGUCAGAGGUGAAAUUCUUGGAUUUAUUGAAGACUAACUACUGCGAAAGCAUUUGCCAAGGAUGUUUUCAUUAAUCAAGAACGAAAGUUAGGGGAUCGAAGACGAUCAGAUACCGUCGUAGUCUUAACCAUAAACUAUGCCGACUAGGGAUCGGAUGAUGUUAAUUUUUUUUAAUGACUCAUUCGGCGCCUUACGGGAAACCAAAGUGUUUGGGUUC